GGGGAUGUAGCUCAGCAGUACAGCACAUGCCUGGCAAGCAUGAAGUCCUGAGUUCAAUCCCU
rnacentral:tRNA from 1 species